rnacentral:misc_RNA from 1 species
UCCAGCGUCGGUAGUCGUCCACCCGUCCACUUGCGUGGCAAGGCAGAGGCAACAGCCGGGCCAGUUGUCGCAAUUGAGCGGGCCUAGCUCGUCCUACUAGUAUGAGGAUCGGCACAGUAUGUUGCGUAAUCCUACCACUAACUGUGGAGAGGUAGAGGCAACACAUGUUCCGGUUGUUCUCAAAUUCGGAGAGCAUUAUUAGGGUCAGGUCGAGGCAACCAAAAGGGCCACGAGCCUUUAUCAUGAGCAACAUCCGAAACCAACAGCGGGAGCGAGGAUGCCUUGAUAGCACCAGGCACGAAACAUGCCAGCACCAAGAGGCAACGCCGCAAGCGCCAUAUGGCCGCAGCAGAACACCCAAAGGCGUCCACCGCGAGGCAACUGUGUAUGAAGCACCAAUACCCGUAGGUCGGGUAACAUCACGCAAGCACUUGAAAGGCAACAGUAAGAUAGCUCACACGAAUGAAAAGACACGGCGCCGGUAGUCAGCCGCACGAA